UGAGUAACCUGCCCUUAACUCUGGGAUAAGCCUGGGAAACUGGGUCUAAUACCGGAUAUGACUCCUCAUCGCAUGGUGGGGGGUGGAAAGCUUUUGUGUUUGGUU
rnacentral:rRNA from 1 species